UGGAAGUAAAAGUCGUAACAAGGUCUCCGUUGGUGAACCAGCGGAGGGAUCAUUAGAGAGUUCUCAUAAAACUCCCAAACCCAUGUGAACAUACCUUCUGUUGCCUCGGCAGGUCGCGCCGGCGCCGAACCGCGUAGCACCCCACCUCCGGUAGGGCCUACCCGGGACGAGCCGGCGGUCUCCCCUGCCGGCGGCCCACGAAACUCUGUUUUAGCAUAUUGAAUUCUGAACGUAUAACUAAAUCAGUUAAAACUUUCAACAACGGAUCUCUUGGUUCUGGCAUCGAUGAAGAACGCAGCGAAAUGCGAUAAGUAAUGUGAAUUGCAGAAUUCAGUGAAUCAUCGAAUCUUUGAACGCACAUUGCGCCCAUUAGUAUUCUAGUGGGCAUGCCUGUUCGAGCGUCAUUUCAACCCUCAAGCCCCCGUUGCUUGGUGUUGGGAGCCUACUGGGUCACCUGUAGCUCCCUAAAGUUAGUGGCGGAGUCGGUUCGCACUCUAGACGUAGUAGAUUUUCACCUCGCCUGUAGUGCCGGACCGGUCCCCUGCCGUAAAACACCCCUUAUCUCCAAAGGUUGACCUCGGAUCAGGUAGGAAUACCCGCUGAACUUAAGCAUAUCAAUAAGCGGAGGAA
rnacentral:rRNA from 1 species